CGUAAAGCGCAUGCAGGCGGCCUGUUAAGUCAGAUGUGAAAGCCCCGGGGCUUAACCUCGGAAUUGCAUUUGAAACUGGCAGGCUAGAGUCUUGUAGAGGGGGUAGAAUUUCAGGUGUAGCGGUGAAAUGCGUAGAGAUCUGAAGGAAUACCAGUGGCGAAGGCGGCCCCCUGGACAAAGACUGACGCUCAGAUGCGAAAGCGUGGGGAGCAAACAGGAUUAGAUACCCUGGUAG
rnacentral:rRNA from 1 species